CCUACGGGAGGCAGCAGUGAGGAAUAUUGGUCAAUGGCCGUAAGGCUGAACCAGCCAAGUCGCGUGAAGGAAGAAGGAUCUAUGGUUUGUAAACUUCUUUUAUAGGGGAAUAAAGGUAUCCACGUGUGGCUAUUUGCAUGUACCCUAUGAAUAAGCAUCGGCUAACUCCGUGCCAGCAGCCGCGGUAAUACGGAGGAUGCGAGCGUUAUCCGGAUUUAUUGGGUUUAAAGGGUGCGUAGGUUGUUUUUUAAGUCAGCGGUGAAAGUUUGGGGCUCAACCCUAAAAUUGCCGUUGAAACUGGAAGACUUGAGUGUGUUUGAGGUAGGCGGAAUGCGUGGUGUAGCGGUGAAAUGCAUAGAUAUCACGCAGAACUCCGAUUGCGAAGGCAGCUUACUAAGCCAUAACUGACACUGAAGCACGAAAGCGUGGGGAUCAAACAGGAUUAGAUACCCGAGUAGUC
rnacentral:rRNA from 1 species